rfam:Spirochaeta americana strain ASpG1 genome assembly, contig: Ga0071122_139
UCUGGUGAUCAUAGCAGAGGGGUCCCACCCGUUCCCAUUCCGAACACGGAAGUUAAGCCCUCUCGCGCCGAUGGUACUGCCGCAAGGUGGGAGAGUAGGUCGUCGCCAGAC